rnacentral:lncRNA from 7 species
AGACCUGGCUUUGUCUGUUUCGAAGCUCAAGGACUUCACAGGAAGAGAGAAACCUACUGUCAUAACAUAGGCCCUGUUUGUUUCGGCUUUUGGCAGCUUCUGGCCACCAAAAGCUACUGCGUACUGUCAAACGCUCAGCUUUUCAGCCAGCUUCUAUAAAAUUCGUUGGGGGCAAAAACCAUCUAAAAUCAAAUAAACACAUAAUCGGUUGAGUCGUUGUAAUAGUAGGAAUUCAUCACUUUCUAGAUCCUGAGCCUUAUGAACAACUUUAUCUUCCUACACACAUAAUCGUAAUGAUACUCAGAUUCUCCCACAGCCAGAUUCUCCCCACAGCCAGAUUUUCAGAAAAGUUGGUCAGAAAAAAGCUGAACCAAACAGCCCCAUAAUAUUUAGAUGUUGUUGUCCUCGGCCAUACCAACUGAGCAGCAUGGGCCAAGAAUUGAACUGAUGGAAAAUAUGUAUCAUUAGGACAAAUUCCGCCAGAAUAAGUUGUUCCUCGGAAGUGUUUUGAGCACCUCCAGCAUCUUCCAAAUAUAUCUCCAAUAAGAUAUUAGUGGGAUAACAUAUGGCAGAUGUUAUCAAAUAAUGUAAAUAUAGAUCGAACACGAGACAUGUUUUACGUGGAGAACUCUUGUAUGAAAAAAAAAUCAUGGAUG